GGGCCGGUAGCUCAGUGGUCAGAGCAAGGGACUUUUAAUCCUUUGGUCGUGGGUUCGAAUCCCACCCGGCUCG
rnacentral:tRNA from 1 species